GAUGAACGCUAGCUACAGGCUUAACACAUGCAAGUCGAGGGGUAACGAGAGGAAAGCUUGCUUUCCUUGUCGACGACCGGCGCACGGGUGAGUAACGCGUAUCCAACCUGCCCCCAACUAGGGAAUAACCUUGCGAAAGUAAGACUAAUACCCUAUAAUUUCCUCAGAUGACAUCUGACGAGGAAUAAAGAUUUAUCGGUUGUGGAUGGGGAUGCGUCUGAUUAGCUUGUUGGCGGGGUAACGGCCCACCAAGGCAACGAUCAGUAGGGGUUCGGAGAGGAAGGUCCCCCACAUUGGAACUGAGACACGGUCCAAACUCCUACGGGAGGCAGCAGUGAGGAAUAUUGGCCAAUGGGCGGAAGCCUGAACCAGCCAAGUAGCGUGCAGGAUGACGGCCCUAUGGGUUGUAAACUGCUUUUAUACAGGAAUAAAGUUAGCCACGUGUGGUUAUUUGUAGGUACUGUAUGAAUAAGGACCGGCUAAUUCCGUGCCAGCCGCCGCAGUAA
rnacentral:rRNA from 1 species